rnacentral:rRNA from 1 species
ACGGAAGGCAGCAGUGGGGAAUAUUGGGCAAUGGGCGCUAGCCUGACCCAGCGACGCCGCGUGAGGGAAGAAGGUCUUCGGAUUGUAAACCUCUUUCAGCAGGGAAGAAGCAAGUGACGGUACCUGCAGAAGAAGUCACGGCUAACUACGUGCCAGCAGCCGCGGUAAUACGUAGGUGGCGAGCGUUAUCCGGAAUUACUGGGUGUAAAGGGUGUGUAGGCGGAGAAGCAAGUCAGGCGUGAAAUUUAUGGGCUCAACUCAUAAACUGCGCUUGAAACUGUUUCCCUUGAGAGUGGGAGAGGUAAACGGAAUUCCUGGUGUAGUAGUGAAAUGCGUAGAUAUCAGGAGGGACACCGGUGGCGAAGGCGGUUUACUGGACCACAACUGACGGUGAGGCGCGAAAGCGUGGGGAGCAAACAGGAUUAGAUACCCUGGUA